rnacentral:rRNA from 1 species
UACGGGGGGGGCAAGCGUUGUUCGGAAUUACUGGGCGUAAAGGGCUCGUAGGCGGCCAACUAAGUCAGACGUGAAAUCCCUCGGCUUAACCGGGGAACUGCGUCUGAUACUGGAUGGCUUGAGUUUGGGAGAGGGAUGCGGAAUUCCAGGUGUAGCGGUGAAAUGCGUAGAUAUCUGGAGGAACACCGGUGGCGAAGGCGGUUCUCUGGGACGGUACUGACGCUGAGACGCGAAAGCGUGGGGAGCGAACAGG